rnacentral:tRNA from 1 species
GUCUGUCUAGCUCAGUCGGUAGAGUGCAAGGCUCUUAACCUUGUGGCUGUGGGUUUUGAGCCCUAUAGUGGGUG